GAUGAACGCUGGCGGCGUGCUUAACACAUGCAAGUCGAACGAUGAAAGCGGGAGCUUGCUCCUGCUGGAUUAGUGGCGAACGGGUGAGUAACACGUGAGUAACCUGCCCUUGACUCUGGGAUAAGCGUUGGAAACGACGUCUAAUACCGGAUACGACCUUCGGAGGCAUCUCCUGGGGGUGGAAAGAAUUUCGGUCAAGGAUGGACUCGCGGCCUAUCAGCUAGUUGGUGAGGGAAUGGCUCACCAAGGCGACGACGGGUAGCCGGCCUGAGAGGGUGACCGGCGAAACUGGGACUGAGACACGGCCCAGACUCCUACGGGAGGCAGCAGUGGGGAAUAUUGCACAAUGGGCGCAAGCCUGAUUCAGCAACGCCGCGUGAGGGACGACGGCCUUCGGGUUGUAAACCUCUUUUAGUAGGGAAGAAGCGAAAGUGACGGUACCUGCAGAAAAAGCACCGGCUAACUACGUGCCAGCCGCCGCCGUAAAAC
rnacentral:rRNA from 1 species